GACGUAGGUGGCGAACGUUAUCCGGAAUUAUUGGGCGUAAAGGGUGCGUAGGUGGCCUGGCAAGUUAUUAGUGGUAAAUUGAGGCUCAACCUCGUGGAAACUAGUAAUACUGUUCGGCUUGAGUGCAGGAGAGGUUAACGGAACUCUAUGUGGAGGGGUAAAAUCCAUAGAUAUAUGGAUGAACAUCAAUAACGGCGAAGGCAGUUAACUAUUCUGUUACUGACACUGAGGCACGAAAGCGUGGGAGCAAACGG
rnacentral:rRNA from 1 species